rnacentral:lncRNA from 1 species
AGUCCUGGAAAUGAUCUUGAUGCUAUCUGUUCCUCGUUACAGCAGACCUGCUCAACUUCAGCAGCUAGAAGGAGGAUUGUCUUUCACCAGCUGCAGGAGCCUGUUCCCACUACAAGCCUGGUGGAGUCUUCGGAGCAGAUGUGACUGUCCUACUUGUAUAGAGAAGAGAAACUGAGGCUCAGAAGAGAUGCCUGGCUGAGUUUAAUAGGACUGCAACAACAAUUUUGCCUUUCUACUUUCUGGUACAGUGGUCUUUCCUUUGCCAUCAUGCCUCAGCAUAUCCAUGUUAGUAAAUUCUCCCAGUUGGGGAAAAGCUUGGCAGCAAUGAAAGUUAAUGUGAUGAAUCAUUUAGAUGGACAGAUUGGAAAAAUGUUGUUCCUUUUGCAUGUGAUGUUCUUGCCAGAAAUCAAGUAGGUGGAGUUUUUGAAGCGUGAUCAGUUAGAUAAGUAUGGUGGUUUUAAAUAAUCAAGCAUGGAGCCAUACCGGUUAUGUUUAAUUUAUAACAAAAUCAGACAAUUCAGGCAUGAUGUUGAACUCAUUGAGCUUGGCUCACUACUACAUUUCUCUCACCAAAAGCAAUGACUAUAAAGAGUUACAAAUACCAUGACCUUAUAUCAUAAAGCAUAAAUUAUUCCAGGAAGUUUUCCAUUUAAGUCAACUUCUCAAAAUCUUAGGAGAAAACUACCAAUAUUCAGUUCAAACCCCAGAGGCUUAAGGAAAAAUAUUAAUGUUGAAAUAGCAAGUAAGUGGUAGUAUCCUCGCUGUAUGCACAAUUGCAUCUGCUCGGGGGUUAGUCUUUCUUUAGCUCCUGUCUACAACUCACACCAGUCUCCAUAAAAGAAAUGAGGUCUCACUGAUACCAUCUAGCUUAAUGAGAUAAAAAUCCUGGUGAUCUCUGCAAGAAAAUAAAACUAAGAUAAACUAGUAUCUGCUACUGAUAAAUAUUUAACAGAUGUGGUCCAAAUCCCUCUGCCAGCUGGAGGAAGGAAAAAAGUUCUAUUUUACUGCUUGGAUAUAAUUAUUGGCCACAUUUCUCCAAGCAAAGACAGUGACAUUGGCUCACUCCCCAGGAGAACUUUCUUCUGAUCUUGGCACUAGGAUUUGCUUUUCUUUAACAGAUUGCAGCAAUAUACCCUUCAUUUGACCCAGUUUAUUCAUUCAAAAGAUACCUGGAGCCAAAACCAUGUAUGAGAAAUAGCAAAGGAAGAGGCAGGCACAAGCUGUGUUUAUAUACCCACCAAAGGACUACAGCAAAACACAUAUAUUCUAGUCAGCUCUGAGUGCACCUGUCUGUGUCAACAGUAGACCAGCGUGGUCUGGCAGAUGACCAUAUGACCCAGCUGAUUCACUCCGGAGUUAGAGGAACUUUUCCCAGACCCUGAAAGUCACCUUUUUAGACAACUUCGCAAACAGCCAUCCUUGUUCACGGUAUCAUGCCCCUUGUCACUGCUAAACAGACCGUUUGCAAAGAAAUUUCCUAAACAUCACCACUGAGGCUCCUUCCAGCAAUGACUCUGGUCCAUCAUUGGGAUUGCUGAGCAGCUGUUUCAUAACAUGAACAAGGAUGUUUUAACCAUGUUUCUUGACCUGGCCAUUUGGAUCCCAAGGAUGUUUUGGUCCAAGAAUAAAUUCCAGAGCUUAGCUCACCGAAGAAGACAGGAAAACUUGUCAGAUGGGGAAGGAUGUGUCAAGAGCAUGCACACAGAUUUACUCUUCAGCUAGAAGCUCCAAUUCCUAGAUGAUCUGAAUCCAACUCAGAGUGCUUGCACCUGUUUCCUGCCACACAGCUAGAGCUGUCCAGUGAGAGAGACAUGAUGGCCCAGCUUGAAAAAGAAAUUGAGGAUAGCAAGUGUAACAUACCAAGCAUUCCACGAGCAGUGUCCCUCUAGGUUCUCUGAUUGGCUGAAGCUACUCUAAGCCAAGAGAUCAAAGAAGCUGAUAAUGUAGAAUGUAAGUUUGUCUCCUGGGCCACAAUGGAAAGCAGAGACUGUAGCUGGAGGAGUGAAUAGAGGAUAUGCAGCUCUGGUAAUUCUCAGUACAAUUCCCAGUGGUCCACUCUGCAGAAUGAACCAAGUUCCAUUUUGCCCAACUUCUGGCAGUCCACAUUUGGACUGUGAGCUCACCUACAGAUAAAUCGUACGUGGAUUGAUGCAGUAACUGGAUUUGUAGCUGCUAAAUCUUAUUUAAGUGAGGACCUGUCCAGUACAUGUGAAGACCACCCAUCCACUGAAAGUGAUAAGUGAAGCUGAAUCAAUACUAGACUGAAUCAAUACUGAGCUGAAUCAAUACUUUCCCAAUUUUGAGGAAAUCUUGGAAAAUCUCUGAGAAAUGUGGUAGUAAUUAUUUUGAAGAAUUGGAAAACUUUAUAGCUGAUUAUGCUAUGUGUGGAAGAUACAACAGGAUUAUAAGAGAGAGAAGACAAUAUCCUUGCUGUGUCCAGAAGGCUUUAGCCGGGGUGUCCUACUGAGAGAUGACAAACUUAAGGUUUUUCUCUUCCCAGACAUUACUGGACAACUAGCUAUGUAAUUAGGUCUUAUGCCGAAAAGACUGAAAGGAAAACAUCUCAGAUCUAGGAAUGUGAUCAAGAAAGAAGGCUGGUUAAAGAAUAACAUGGGGAAAAUGAAUGCAGUGAAAUGGUUCACGCACAAGUUCUAGGAAUUCAGAGUGCAACAGCAGAAAUGCGAUUUUUGUUAGAUAUUUCAGAAAGUGAUGUGAGUCCCUGAGGUCAUACUGCAGCGUUCAGGUUCUGUUUGGCCUCCUGCACGAAGCUUUCCUUGAUUGGAAAAGCUGCAUACUCUGAAGCACAUCGCAUGUGUCCUGUCUGUAGUUCAUUUCAUUUCCCCAGAUUUGUUAUCAUCCACCAUCACUCAUACAAGCCUACCUUCUUCAUGCCAACCUUUGUAAUCUUUCUACCUUGCUAACCUGGUCAUGUCAAGGACCAGCUAAUAAAUAGCAAAGUUGUACCUUGAGCCAAGGUAUCUUGACUCUUAGUCCAGUGCUCUUUAUAUACCUCUGAAGUCUUAUUUGAGCUUCAAAAUUAUGAGUCUGUGCUCUCAAGAUUUUUUUGAAAAUGUACUUAAUGUUGCCCCUAAGCUUUUAUGAGAAAUAAUAAAGUUCUUUCCAGAUUGAAUAUCUAAUAACUCCAUUUCAUUUUAUGCUUUCUCAUGUAUGGAUGUCUAUAACUGGAAUGCUAUUUGGGCUACUGAGAUAUUUUCUUAAUUCUCUGUUUUGUGUUAGUUCUUUUUGUUUGUUUAUUUGACAACCAUAUUUUUGCACCUGAGAUAAAUCUGGCAUUCUAUUCAACUUCAAUUUCAAAGAGAAUCUGAGAAUGUACUGGUAGAACGAUAUUUGAAUACUAAUAUCUUGGAAAUACAGAAAUAAGUAUCAUACAUUUUGUUACAUUCUGUUUGUGUACAAAUAAUAUAAAAAUCAAUGAAUGAGAAUUUCAUAUUUGAAUUGUAUAUGGAUUGAUGCAAUAACUUGAUUUAGACAAUACUUUUUAUGAAGA